rnacentral:rRNA from 1 species
CACGUAGGGUGCGAGCGUUUGUCCGGAAUUAUUGGGCGUAAAGGGCUCGUAGGCGGUUUGUCGCGUCGGGAGUGAAAACUCAGGGCUUAACCCUGAGCCUGCUUCCGAUACGGGCAGACUAGAGGUAUGCAGGGGAGAACGGAAUUCCUGGUGUAGCGGUGAAAUGCGCAGAUAUCAGGAGGAACACCGGUGGCGAAGGCGGUUCUCUGGGCAUUACCUGACGCUGAGGAGCGAAAGUGUGGGGAGCGAACAGG